UAAGUAAUGAGGAAAGCAGAGCCAGGGUACCAUCCUAAAGCAGGAGUCAGCAGACCACAGCCUGUGAACCACAUCUAGCCCAGCGCCUGCUGUGUGUGUGCUACCCAUGAGGCGCUAUUCCAGGCAACCAGGAUACAAAGAAGAAGAAAGACAAAUGAACCAGACCUGCACCUGCCCAUAAAGAGCACUUGGCCCACAGAGGGGGACAGAAGAGUACAUCAGUCCCCGGGGACAAGUGUGACCAGACCCGUGCUGGGCUAUGACAGGGAGCAGACAUGCUCCCAUUCUCCUUUCCACAGCUCGGGUCUUGCUCCUUCCUGAAUGCACCAGGCAUCCUGCUGGGUCUGCCCCAAGCCCUGGAGCUGGCCUGAAUGGAGAAUAAUAUCGACACGGGCAUUUCUCCAACGCACUGGCACGAGGCUGUGUCUGGAAAACUACACAGCACAAAUCAGCCAGGGUGCAAGCCCCUGUGAGAACCUGGGCAGGGGAAUAGCUUGGCACUUCCACAUGCUAAACAGCAAAACAACAAAUUCACAGCAAGGGAGAUUGAUGCCAAAAUAAACCUGUCAGA